rnacentral:rRNA from 1 species
GAGUUUGAUCCUGGCUCAGGAUGAACGCUGGCGGCGUGCCUAACACAUGCAAGUCGAGCGAUAAAUUAAUGAAUGAACCUUCGGGUGAAUGAUUUAAUGGACAGCGGCGGACGGGUGAGUAACGCGUGGAUAACCUGCCUUAUACUGGGGGAUAACGUUUUGAAAAGAACGCUAAUACCGCAUAAGCGCACAGCACCGCAUGGUGUAGUGUGAAAAACUCCGGUGGUAUAAGAUGGAUCCGCGUCAGAUUAGCUAGUUGGUGAGAUAAAAGCUCACCAAGGCGACGAUCUGUAGCCGACCUGAGAGGGUGAUCGGCCACAUUGGGACUGAGACACGGCCCAAACUCCUACGGGAGGCAGCAGUGGGGAAUAUUGCACAAUGGAGGAAACUCUGAUGCAGCGACGCCGCGUGAAGGAUGAAGGUCUUCGGAUCGUAAACUUCUAUCAGCAGGGAAGAUAGUGACUGUACCUGACUAAGAAGCCCCGGCUAACUACGUGCCAGCAGCCGCGGUAAUACGUAGGGGGCAAGCGUUAUCCGGAAUUACUGGGUGUAAAGGGUGCGUAGGCGGUUUAAUAAGUCAGAUGUGAAAGCCCGGAGCUCAACUCCGGGACUGCAUUUGAAACUGUUUAACUAGAAUACAGGAGAGGUAAGUGGAAUUCCUAGUGUAGCGGUGAAAUGCGUAGAUAUUAGGAGGAACACCAGUGGCGAANGCGACUUACUGGACUGUUAUUGACGCUG